CCUGCCCCUACAGGUGUUGCAGUGCGACUGCAGGUGUCGUGUUUGUGUCAGUAGGUGGCAAACAGGAAUCUCUUUUUAUA